rnacentral:rRNA from 1 species
GACGAACGCUGGCGGCGUGCUUAACACAUGCAAGUCGAACGGAAAGGCCCUGCUUUUGUGGGGUGCUCGAGUGGCGAACGGGUGAGUAACACGUGAGUAACCUGCCCUUGACUUUGGGAUAACUUCAGGAAACUGGGGCUAAUACCGGAUAGGAGCUCCUGCUGCAUGGUGGGGGUUGGAAAGUUUCGGCGGUUGGGGCUGGACUCGCGGGUUAUCAGCUUGUUGGUGGGGUAGUGGCUUACCAAGGCUUUGACGGGUAGCCGGCCUGAGAGGGUGACCGGCCACAUUGGGACUGAGAUACGGCCCAGACUCCUACGGGAGGCAGCAGUGGGGAAUAUUGCACAAUGGGCGGAAGCCUGAUGCAGCAACGCCGCGUGCGGGAUGACGGCCUUCGGGUUGUAAACCGCUUUCGCCUGUGACGAAGCGUGAGUGACGGUAAUGGGUAAAGAAGCACCGGCUAACUACGUG